GAACGGUAACAUAGAGAAGCUUGCUUUUCUGAUGACGAGUGGCGCACGGGUGCGUAACGCGUAUGCAAUCUACCUUGUACUGGAGUAUAGCCCAGGGAAACUUGGAUUAAUCCUCCAUAGUCUAUAUUAAUGGCAUCAUUUUAUAUAGUAAAGGUUACGGUACAAGAUGAGCAUGCGUCCUAUUAGCUAGUAGGUGUGGUAACGGCACACCUAGGCAACGAUAGGUAGGGGUCCUGAGAGGGAGAUCCCCCACACUGGUACUGAGACACGGACCAGACUCCUACGGGAGGCAGCAGUGAGGAAUAUUGGACAAUGGGCGCAAGCCUGAUCCAGCCAUGCCGCGUGCAGGAAGACUGCCCUAUGGGUUGUAAACUGCUUUUAUACGGGAAGAAUAAGUGUUACGUGUAGCACGAUGACGGUACCGUAAGAAUAAGCACCGGCUAACUCCGUGCCAGCAGCCGCGGUAAUACGGAGGGUGCAAGCGUUAUCCGGAAUCAUUGGGUUUAAAGGGUCCGUAGGUGGACUAAUAAGUCAGUGGUGAAAGUCUGCAGCUUAACUGUAGAAUUGCCAUUGAUACUGUUAGUCUUGAAUUGUUGUGAAGUAACUAGAAUAUGUAGUGUAGCGGUGAAAUGCAUAGAUAUUACAUAGAAUACCGAUUGCGAAGGCAGGUUACUGACAAUAUAUUGACACUGAUGGACGAAAGCGUGGGGAGCGAACAGGAUUAGAUACCCUGGUAGUCCACGCCGUAAACGAUGGUUACUAGCUGUCCGGUCUAAUUGAGGACUGGGUGGCCAAGCGAAAGUGAUAAGUAACCCACCUGGGGAGUACGUUCGCAAGAAUGAAACUCAAAGGAAUUGACGGGGGCCCGCACAAGCGGUGAGCAUGUGGUUUAAUUCGAUGAUACGCGAGGAACCUUACCAGGCUUAAAUGUAGUCUGACAGAUUUGGAAACAGAUUUUUCUUCGGACAGAUACAGUGCUGCAUGAUGUCGUCAGCUCGUGCCGUGAGGUGUCAGUAGUCCUAUACGAGCGCACCCCUGUGUAGUGCAGCGAGUAUGUCGGACUCUAGCAGACUGCGUGCAACGCGAGAGUGGGGAUGACGUCAAUCAUCACGCCUACGCCUGGCCACCACUGCUACAUGGCAGUAAGCAAGCACCACUGUGACAGACGACUGUAGCCGUCCAGAUCGAUCGGAUGCCACUCACCUCUGGGACUGAAUCCUAUAAUUCCACUACACCAUUGGAUGGCGGAAAGCUUG
rnacentral:rRNA from 1 species